GACGAACGCUGGCGGCGUGCCUAACACAUGCAAGUCGAGCGAGGAGAGUUCCUUCGGGAACAAACCUAGCGGCGGACGGGUGAGUAACACGUGGGCAACCUGCCUUGUAGAGGGAAUAGCCUUCCGAAAGGAAGAUUAAUACCGCAUAACAUUACAGUUUCGCAUGAACCAGUAAUUAAAGGAGUAAUCCGCUACAAGAUGGGCCCGCGGCGCAUUAGCUAGUUGGUGAGGUAACGGCUCACCAAGGCGACGAUGCGUAGCCGACCUGAGAGGGUGAUCGGCCACAUUGGGACUGAGACACGGCCCAGACUCCUACGGGAGGCAGCAGUGGGGAAUAUUGCACAAUGGGGGAAACCCUGAUGCAGCAACGCCGCGUGAGUGAUGAAGGUUUUCGGAUCGCAAAGCUCUGUCUUCGGGGACGAUAAUGACGGUACCCGAGGAGGAAGCCACGGCUAACUACGUG
rnacentral:rRNA from 1 species